rnacentral:lncRNA from 1 species
GGGCAGCCCGGCGCGUGCGGCUGCGGAUCGCCAGGUCCCAGGGCCUCCCUCCGAGCCGCCACCUGCCAGGAUCUCUAGCCCGGAGCCAUGAAGACCAAGAACCGGCCCCCCAGGCGCCGGGUGCCGCCGCAGGCCACAGAGGCCACCGCGGGGGAACAGAGCCCUGACAGGCCCCAGCAGGGCUCGGGGCUAGAGCUGGCCAAGGGUCUGCGGAGCAGGACAGCGCGGGCGCAGGCGGCACGGGCUGAGGGGGGACGCAGACGGCCGGGGGCCUCGGGGCCGGGGGGCCGGCGGGACAGCAGCGUCCAGCGGCGGCUGGAGAGCAACGAGCGGGAGCGGCAGCGCAUGCACAAGCUGAACAACGCCUUCCAGGCUCUGCGGGAGGUCAUCCCACAUGUGCGAGCGGACAAGAAGCUCUCCAAGAUCGAGACGCUCACUCUGGCCAAGAACUACAUCAAGUCGCUGACCUCCACCAUCCUGACCAUGUCCAGCGGUCGCCUCCCGGGCCUGGACGGGCCGGGCCCCAAGCUCUACCAGCACUACCAGCAGCAGCAGGCGGCUGGGGGCGCGCUGGGGGCCGCCGAGCCGCAGCCCGAGGGCCACCUGCACAGGUACUCCACGCAGAUCCACAGCUUCCGCGAGGGCUCCUAGCGCGCGGCCCACCGCUCCCGGCCCUGCCGCCUCUGUGCCGAGAGCCCCGGCUUGGUGGGGACACCCCACACGGACAUGGCCCCAGUGGCCCCCGCUUUCCCUGGACACUCAGCUGCCUCCUGGGAGCCCAUCCUGGCUCCCCCAGGGGACAAGACUGGCGAGUGGCCUGGCGGCGGCCACGGCUCCGGGCCGCACGAGGCCCAAACCUCCGCAGAGCUCCCAGGACCUGCUUUCUAAUUGACGAGGCCGCAGUCGACAGGCCUUUGUAACUAAGUUCUCUUCAUUCCCAGCUCCCUCCUGAGGCAGGGGGAGAAUCCAGGGAAAGGUCAGCCUGGGUAAGUUUUCCCCAGCCAACGCCGAGGCCCAGGCCCAGGAAGGGGCCUCCCCCAUCCUCCGUGGGAGCUCCUCGUUCAGGGAAACUGAGACAUGCGGCAAAGCAAAGCCACAGAGUGUGGCUGAGCCGAGAUGGUUGAUGUGUGGAAUUCAGCAUGUGUCCGAUAGACACCCCAGAACCCCUAGAGAUACGAAUCCGUUUAUCUAGAAUUAACCCUAGAGGGAGCUGGGCAGGAGGAGCGGCUGGGAUCUUCGCCUCCCUCCCCCUGGGGGCGGGGGUCCUGACUCUGGAGGGUCUGAGCCAGGCCCGAGGGCCUGCGGCCUGGCACCUGGCACGGGGCUGCUGGAGGCAGGUCUGGGAGGGAGGCUUCCAGCCACGGCUCCCCCAGCAGCCUCCCUCCGAGUCCCGCCCAGGGUCGCUGCUUGCUGUCCUGUCGCUGCCGGGGCCACGUAAGUGGCAGAGGGCAGUGUGACAGAGCUUGCGGUGCCGUCGGGUCUGGCUCGGAGUUGGGGGCCCUGAGGUGUCUCUGUGGGAAGGAGCCCGAGGUGGUGGGAGCUCCCCUCCCCCACCGGCUGCUGCUCCGUCAGGGCGGGCCUGGGCAGUUUGGCAGGUCCCCGGCCGCCUCAGGCCAAGCAAGCUUCCUUCUCUGGUGACAGGCUUGGCCACUUUGCUCUCGAUGCCCCCUGGCAUCUCUCCUCCCUUGUGCCUACACCUGCAGCCAAUAUGGGGAGGGCACAAGGCAACCUUGGCAGCCUCGGGCAGGAACCCCAUUGACAAGGGCGGAGGUGAGGGUGGAGUUGGCCUGGCAGAUGAAGCCAGACCUCGAGAAGGCCUUGGGGGCAGGGGGGGGGGUCAAGCCCCUCCUGGGGGGCCGAGCCGCAUGGGAGCAGGGCUGCCACAGUGGAGGGCUGGCUCGCCCUCCCAACCCUGGUCGUCCCGGCCCCAGAUGCUCAAUCCACUGCCAGGCUUCACGUCGGCCUCAAGGAGAGCAGGCGGCGGCGGCCCUCGGAACAGCCGUUACCGGUCAGUCCUCUUUCCCGGUGAGACACUGGCUGGACACCCCCCACCCCCAGGCCCCACGCCAGGCCCUCUGGAAGGCGGCCCUGGGAGGCCUGGUCGGGCCUCAGCCCUCCUUCAGCGUGGUCGGGUGGGGACCACAGGUGCUCCUGGCCUGCCCCUCAGAGACGGCCACUCGGCAGGUCGGUCGUCAGGACAUUCCACCUCAGGAGCUGAGGCUGAGGGCCAUGUCCAGCUCGGGACGGAGGGGGCCCCCCUGUGGGGGGCCUGCCGGCUGGAACACAACACAAGGCCCGCAGACCUCGUGGCUCUUACUUGGCUGAGCCGGGGCCAGAGCAGAGCCCCGUGCACCGCUAAAAUUGCUGAAUGAACUGAGAAACCGAGCUGAAAGGCCAGCAGAGGCUCCGUCCGGGAGACCACGCCAAAGCCCGAGGGUGGUGGGAGGGUCUGUGGGUCACCACCAGCUUUCAGCACCUUCUGUCCCAAGCUAGCACCUGGUUCCCAGAGGGUGACCAGGGCCCAGAUGUCUGGUCCUUCUUCCUUUGUGGCCAGAGGGCAUCUGCACACCCUGUGGCCAUGUCACAAAGUCAAGCUUUCGGGUGUUAAAUAUGGGGAGCAGGGGAGAGGAAGGGUCUGGGGGCAGGCUGGUGAGGCCUGCUGCUGGGUCUGCACCCUCCGCCCCUGUCCUGGGCCCUCCUGCCCUGCAAGGACUCUUAAGACCAGCGAACCGCUAUCCCCAGGGCCCUGCCAUCCAGCCUCACACCCAGGCCUCGUACCCACCUGCUGACCAGACCCAUGUGAGCUCUGGAGGGCCGAGACCCCACAGCCCGGACCUGAGAAACCAGAACUUGGGACUUCUCUGUGUGGGAAAACACACUGGAACUGAACGGCCAGUGCCCUUGCUGUAAUUGUGGUGAAAAUGUUUCUUAAAUGCCCCAGAUUUGCUUUGAUUUCUCCUAAUGGUCCCUUCAGUGUACUAAUGAAACCAAUGCUGUGUCAUAAAAAUGAAAGAUUUUAGCACGACUGCUACUUGCGCCCCAGGCUGGACACUCAUGGGGAGCUGUGCAUUCUAAUCACAAUGUAGCAAUAAAAAAAAUAGCAUGUCGU